rnacentral:rRNA from 1 species
CCUACGGGUGGCAGCAGUGAGGAAUAUUGGUCAAUGGACGAGAGUCUGAACCAGCCAAGUAGCGUGAAGGAUGACUGCCCUAUGGGUUGUACACUUCUUUUAUAUGGGAAUAAAAUGUUCCACGUGUGGGAUUUUGUAGGUACCAUAUGAAUAAGGAUCGGCUAACUCCGUUCCAGCAGCCGCGGUAAUACGGAAGAUCCGAGCGUUAUCCGGAUUUAUUGGGUUUAAAGGGAGCGUAGGUGGAUUGUUAAGUUAGUUGUUAAAGUUUGCGGCUCAACCGUAAAAUUGCAGUUGAAACUGGCAGUCUUGAGUACAGUAGAGGUAGGCGGAAUGCGGGGUGUAGCGGUGAAAUGCUGAGAUAUCACGAAGAACUCCGAUUGCGAAGGCAACUCACUGGACUGCAACUGACACUGAGGCUCGAAGGUGUGGGUAUCAAACAGGAUUAGAUACCCGGGUAGUC